CCUACGGGAGGCAGCAGUGAGGAAUAUUGGUCAAUGGGCGAGAGCCUGAACCAGCAAAGUCGCGUGAGGGAAGACGGUCCUAUGGAUUGUAAACCUCUUUUGCCGGGGAGCAAAAAGCGGUACGUGUACCGCAUCGAGAGUACCCGGAGCAAACGCAUCGGCUAACUCCGUGCCAGCAGCGGCGGUAAUACGGGGGAUGCGAGCGUUAUCCGGAUUUAUUGGGUUUAAGGGGGGCGCAGGCGGCGAGUUAAGUCAGCGGUAAAAUUUCGGGGCUCAACCCCGACGAGCCGUUGAAACUGGCUGGCUAGAGUGGGCGAGAGGAAUGUGGAAGUCGAGGUGUAGCGGUGAAAUGCAUAGAUAUCACGCAGAACUCCGAUUGCGAAGGCAGCAGACCGGCGCCCAACUGACGCUCAGGCACGAAAGCGUGGGUAUCGAACAGGAUUAGAUACCCGAGUAGUC
rnacentral:rRNA from 1 species